rnacentral:tRNA from 1 species
GGGCCUUUAGCUCAGAUGGUCAGAGCCGUCGGCUCAUAACCGAUAGGUCGCGGGUUCGAUGCCUGCAAGGCCCACCA